rnacentral:tRNA from 1 species
AAACAGCUAGUUUAUCUAAAACAUUUGAUUUCGACUCAAAAGCUUGUGGUUAACCCCGCAGUUGUUUA